CUGUAUAUAUGGCUAUAAAUAUGAAGAUCUUGAAGAUUGUUUUGCAUCUUCUAUUAUAAAGAUAUUUUGUUAAUUAAAAAAUAAGCACUUCAACGUUGUAAAAAAUAAACAAUGUAUGUUCCGUUAGAUGUUUUUUGUCUACUUUUUGUAUAUUGUACAUUUUGUAUAUUUUGCCCACAGACUAAAGCAGGGGUAGGCAAGUACGGUCCUAGAGUUUAGCUCCAAACCUGAAAAAACCUUACCUGCGCCUGAAGCCCUAGUGAUCCUGAAGACAGUGAUUCCAUAAAACACGACACUUGGCACAAAUAAUGUAAAACUACAGCUGUAUUUGUAUUGGGUCCGUCACACAACAUGCUGAUAGGCAGCUUCUGAGUUCCCAUUCCUCGUUAAAUUUACUGAGCAUUAAUAAAAAUAAACAAAGCUAGAUGAUGCCAUUGCAAGCUGCUCAACAUGUGAACUAUUCCAGCUACAUCUUCUGCUAUUAUUAAAUUAUAAUAUAAUAUUAUAAUCUUCUGCUACAGAAUUAAACACAUGGGUCUAAACUGGAAAACAGUAAAUUAAAGGAAAAGUUCACCCAAAAAAUUGAAAUUUCUGUCAUUAAUUACUCACCCUCAUGUCAUCCAAACCUUAAAAAAGACCUUCGUUCAUCUUUGGAUAUUUGUGGUGAAAUCCCAGAGCUUUCUGACCCUGCAUAGACAGCAAGGGAACUAUCACGCUCAGGGCACAGAAAGGCAGUAAGGACAUCGACAAAAUAGUCCAUGUGACGUCAGUAGUUCUGCCGUAAUGUUAUGAAGCUAUGAGAAUACUUUUUGUGUGCAAAGAAAACAAAAAUAACAACUUUAUUCAACAAUUUCUUCUCUUCCGUGUCAGUCUUUCACCAUGUCUGAUGCCGCUGACAUUACCGUCGACUUGAUUACACACACACUGAGAGCUGAACUGAGCUGGAUGAUGAUAUCACUGAAUCAACGAUGAACUGCCAUUAAAAGGAACAUUUACUGUUUCCUAUUGUCCUGUUUUUAGAGCUGCUUUACAGCAAAAUAGAUUUUUGUUUGAAUUAUUGACACUAUUGUCCUGCUUUUAAUGCUGCGUUGACACAAUCUGUGUUGUAUAAAGUGCUAUACAAAUAAAGGUGACUUGACUUGA